GCGCAACCCUUAUUGUUAGUUGCCAUCAUUCAGUUGGGCACUCUAGCAAGACUGCCGGUGACAAACCGGAGGAAGGUGGGGAUGACGUCAAAUCAUCAUGCCCCUUAUGACCUGGGCUACACACGUGCUACAAUGGGAAGUACAACGAGUCGCGAAGUCGCGAGGCUAAGCUAAUCUCUUAAAGCUUCUCUCAGUUCGGAUUGCAGGCUGCAACUCGCCUGCAUGAAGCCGGAAUCGCUAGUAAUCGCGGAUCAGCACGCCGCGGUGAAUACGUUCCCGGGCCUUGUACACACCGCCCGUCACACCACGAGAGUUUGUAACACCCGAAGUCGGUGAGGUAACCUUUUGGAGCCAGCCGCCUAAGGUGGGAUAGAUGAUUGGGGUGAAGUCGUAACAAGGUAGCCGUAUCGGAAGGUGCGGCUGGAUCACCUCCUUU
rnacentral:rRNA from 1 species